AUUGAACGCUGGCGGCAUGCCUUACACAUGCAAGUCGAACGGCAGCACGGGUGCUUGCACCUGGUGGCGAGUGGCGAACGGGUGAGUAAUACAUCGGAACAUGUCCUGUAGUGGGGGAUAGCCCGGCGAAAGCCGGAUUAAUACCGCAUACGAUCCACGGAUGAAAGCGGGGGACCUUCGGGCCUCGCGCUAUAGGGUUGGCCGAUGGCUGAUUAGCUAGUUGGUGGGGUAAAGGCCUACCAAGGCGACGAUCAGUAGCUGGUCUGAGGACGACCAGCCACACUGGGACUGAGACACGGCCCAGACUCCUACGGGAGGCAGCAGUGGGGAAUUUUGGACAAUGGGCGAAAGCCUGAUCCAGCAAUGCCGCGUGUGUGAAGAAGGCCUUCGGGUUGUAAAGCACUUUUGUCCGGAAAGAAAUCCUUGGCUCUAAUACAGUCGGGGGAUGACGGUACCGGAAGAAUAAGCACCGGCUAACUACGUG
rnacentral:rRNA from 1 species